UUAAUUGAAGAGUUUGAUCAUGGCUCAGAUUGAACGCUGGCGGCAGGCCUAACACAUGCAAGUCGAGCGGUAACAGAAAGUAGCUUGCUACUUUGCUGACGAGCGGCGGACGGGUGAGUAAUGCUUGGGAACAUGCCUUGAGGUGGGGGACAACAGUUGGAAACGACUGCUAAUACCGCAUAAUGUCUACGGACCAAAGGGGGCUUCGGCUCUCGCCUUUAGAUUGGCCCAAGUGGGAUUAGCUAGUUGGUGAGGUAAUGGCUCACCAAGGCAACGAUCCCUAGCUGGUUUGAGAGGAUGAUCAGCCACACUGGAACUGAGACACGGUCCAGACUCCUACGGGAGGCAGCAGUGGGGAAUAUUGCACAAUGGGCGCAAGCCUGAUGCAGCCAUGCCGCGUGUGUGAAGAAGGCCUUCGGGUUGUAAAGCACUUUCAGUCAGGAGGAAAGGUUAGUAGUUAAUACCUGCUAGCUGUGACGUUAC
rnacentral:rRNA from 1 species